GAUGAACGCUGGCGGCGUGCCUAAUACAUGCAAGUCGAGCGAACGGACGAGAAGCUUGCUUCUCUGAUGUUAGCGGCGGACGGGUGAGUAACACGUGGAUAACCUACCUAUAAGACUGGGAUAACUUCGGGAAACCGGAGCUAAUACCGGAUAAUAUUUUGAACCGCAUGGUUCAAAAGUGAAAGACGGUCUUGCUGUCACUUAUAGAUGGAUCCGCGCUGCAUUAGCUAGUUGGUAAGGUACCGGCUUACCAAGGCAACGAUACAUAGCCGACCUGAGAGGGUGAUCAGCCACACUGGAACUGAGACACGGUCCAGACUCCUACGGGAGGCAGCAGUAGGGAAUCUUCCGCAAUGGGCGAAAGCCUGACGGAGCAACGCCGCGUGAGUGAUGAAGGUCUUCGGAUCGUAAAACUCUGUUAUUAGGGAAGAACAUAUGUGUAAGUAACUGUACACAUCUUGACGGUACCUAAUCAGAAAGCCACGGCUAACUACGUG
rnacentral:rRNA from 1 species